rnacentral:rRNA from 1 species
GACGAACGCUGGCGGCGUGCCUAAUACAUGCAAGUCGAGCGAGCGGCGGACGGGUGAGUAAUGUCUGGGAAACUGUCUGAUGGAGGGGGAUAAGUACUGGAAACGGUAGCUAAUACCGCACACAAUCAGAUGUGCCCAGAUGGGAUUAGCUAGUAGGUGGGGUAACGGCUCACCUAGGCGACGAUCCCUAGCUGGUCUGAGAGGAUGACCCGCCACACGGGAACUGAGACACGGUCCAGACUCCUACGGGAGGCAGCAGUGGGGAAUAUUGUACAAUGGGCGCAAGCCUGAUGCAGCCAUGCCGCGUGUGUGAAGAAGGCCUUCGGGUUGUAAAGCACUUUCAGCGGGGAGGCGUUACCCGCAGAAGAAGCACCGGCUAACUCCGUGCCAGCAGCCGCGGUAAUUC